AGAACGAACGCUGGCGGCAUGCCUAACACAUGCAAGUCGAACGCUUCCGGGGCUUCGGUCGCGGAGGAGUGGCGCACGGGUGAGUAGCGCGUGGGAACCUGCCCUGUUGUGGGGGAUAACCGAGGGAAACUUCGGCUAAUACCGCAUACGCCCCGGGACUUGGUCUUCGGAUUAGGUCUGGGGGGAAAGAUUGAUCGCAGCAGGAGGGGCCCGCGUCGGAUUAGCUGGUUGGUGGGGUAACGGCUCACCAAGGCGAUGAUCCGUAGCUGGUCUGAGAGGAUGAUCAGCCACACUGGGACUGAGACACGGCCCAGACUCCUACGGGAGGCAGCAGUGGGGAAUAUUGGACAAUGGGGGCAACCCUGAUCCAGCAAUGCCGCGUGAGUGAUGAAGGCCUUAGGGUUAUAAAGCUCUUUCGCCCGCGACGAUGAUGACGGUAGCGGGAGAAGAGCCCGGCUAACUUCGUGCCAGCAGCCGCGGU
rnacentral:rRNA from 1 species